rnacentral:misc_RNA from 1 species
GAUGAAGAACGUAGCGAAAUGCGAUAAGUAGUGUGAAUUGCAGAAUUCAGUGAAUCAUCGAAUCUUUGAACGCACCUUGCGCCCUUUGGCUAUUCCGAAGGGCAUGCCUGUUUGAGUAUCAUGAACACCUCAACUCUCAUGGUUUUUCCAUGAUGGGCUUGGACUUUGGGGGUCUUGCUGGCCUAUAGUCAGCUCCUCUUAAAUGAAUCAGCUUGCCAGUGUUUGGUGGCAUCACAGGUGUGAUAACUAUCUACGCUUGUGGUUUUUCCACCAGGUAACCUUCAGCAGUGGAGGUUCGCUGGAGCUCAUAGAUGUCUCUCCUCAGUGAGGACAGCCCUUUGAAUGUUUGAUCUCAAAUCAGGUAGGACUACCCGCUGAACUUAAGCAUAUCAAUAAGCGGAGGA